UACAGAGGGUGCGAGCGUUAAUCGGAAUUACUGGGCGUAAAGCGUGCGUAGACGGUUAUUUAAGUCGGGUGUGAAAGCCCCGGGCUCAACCUGGGAAUUGCAUUCGAGACUGAAUAGCUAGGGUACGGUAGAGGGAAGCGGAAUUUACGGUGUAGCGGUGAAAUGCGUAGAUAUCGUAAGGAAGACCAGUGGCGAAGGCGGGUCUCUGGACAGUUCCUGACGCUGAGGCACGAAGGCCAGGGGAGCAAACGGG
rnacentral:rRNA from 1 species